rnacentral:rRNA from 1 species
UACGGAGGGAGCUAGCGUUGUUCGGAAUUACUGGGCGUAAAGCGCACGUAGGCGGCUUUUUAAGUCAGGGGUGAAAUCCCGGGGCUCAACCCCGGAACUGCCCUUGAAACUGGGAAGCUAGAAUCUUGGAGAGGCGAGUGGAAUUCCGAGUGUAGAGGUGAAAUUCGUAGAUAUUCGGAAGAACACCAGUGGCGAAGGCGACUCGCUGGACAAGUAUUGACGCUGAGGUGCGAAAGCGUGGGGAGCAAAC